rnacentral:rRNA from 1 species
AGCGAACGCUGGCGGCAGGCCUAACACAUGCCAGUCGAACGGAUCCUUCGGGAUUAGUGGCGGACGGGUGAGUAACACGUGGGAACGUGCCCUUUGGUUCGGAACAACUCAGGGAAACUUGAGCUAAUACCGGAUGUGCCCUUCGGGGGAAAGAUUUAUCGCCAUUGGAGCGGCCCGCGUCUGAUUAGCUAGUUGGUGAGGUAACGGCCCACCAAGGCGACGAUCAGUAGCUGGUCUGAGAGGAUGAUCAGCCACACUGGGACUGAGACACGGCCCAGACUCCUACGGGAGGCAGCAGUGGAGAAUCUUGCGCAAUGGGCGAAAGCCUGACGCAGCCAUGCCGCGUGAAUGAUGAAGGUCUUAGGAUUGUAAAAUUCUUUCAGCGGGGACGAUAAUGACGGUACCCGCAGAAGAAGCUCCGGCUAACUUCGUG